rnacentral:rRNA from 1 species
UACGAACGCUGGCGGCGUGCUUAACACAUGCAAGUCGAACGGUAAGGCCCUUCGGGGUACACGAGUGGCGAACGGGUGAGUAACACGUGGGUGAUCUGCCCUGCACUUCGGGAUAAGCCUGGGAAACUGGGCCUAAUACCGGAUAGGACCACUGCCUACAUGGGUGGUGGGGGAAAGCUUUUGUGGUGUGGGAUGGGCCCGCGGCCUAUCAUCUGGUUGGUGGGGUGAUGGCCUACCAAGGCGACGACGGGUAGCCGGCCUGAGAGGGUGACCGGCCACACUGGGACUGAGAUACGGCCCAGGCUCCUACGGGAGGCAGCAGUGGGGAAUAUUGCACAAUGGGCGCAAGCCUGAUGCAGCGACGCCGCGUGAGGGAUGACGGCCUUCGGGUUGUAAACCUCUUUCAGCACCGACGAAGCGCAAGUGACGGUAGGUGCAGAAGAAGGACCGGCCAACUACGUGCCAGCCGCCGCAGUAA